GGAUACAGCAAUAUCACCCUGCAGCCCAAGACCGGUUACUCACUGAAGCUAAGCAGGGCUGAGCCUGGUCAGUACCUGGAUGGGAGACCACUAGGUAACACUAGGUUGCUGUUGGAA
rfam:Danio rerio chromosome 25 genomic contig CTG2378, GRCz11 reference primary assembly.